rnacentral:snoRNA from 1 species
UUUAUUGAUGAAUGGCAUUCCACAAUUUGUCUUAUAUUAUCCGGCGAUGAUUCUUCAGAAUAUGUGCCAGGAUUAACAUCAUGCAUCACCAUCUGAAU